GCGGCCUCGCCGAGAAAGAGCCGAAGGCGCAGGCGCACCGAGCCUCGGGGCGGGGCGUCGGAAGGGCACGCGCCGGAGUCGGGCGCUGGUGCGCAGGCGCGGGUGCGCAGGCGCGGGCGCGCGGCGGGAGAGACGCCCGCGUGCGGAGGCGUCGGCCGGGUCGUGGGCGAUGGAGGCGAGGGCCGUGUGUGAGAUUCUGAAGUACAUAAUUAUUCACUGGAAAAGGGAAGCAGCAGAAGUAAGCCGGGAAGCAUUUUUGGAAGGGGAGCUGUUUAUUUCCAUAGAAGAAAAAAGUUCGAAACAUCAAGCAAAUCCUUUUCAUUAUGUGACAGCCAUUGCCUUUACAGGAAGCCCGGCUGAUGACUUCGUGACCAAGCAGCUCCUAAAAGAGAUUCAGUCACUGUUGUCAGGAUUCUCUGGGAAGUUGACUUGGCCUUCAGAGGAAGCUCGCUGUUCCCAGGACCUGUUGGCGUCCUUCCAAAUGAAAUUUGAGGUUGAUGAAAAGCCCGCAAAUUUGAUGACAGAUUGUCUGGUUAUAAAGCAGUUUUUGCACAAAACCAGCAUAGUGCACCCAAAGGUCAGAUUCCGCUUGUGUGUGAAGGUGAAUGGAGUCCUCUCCGAGGACACCUUUGGGAAAGAGAAGGAGCCUGUUGCGAAGCUGCUAAAUGGGAUUGGCCUGCUCACCAAUCAGCACCACUAUAGGAGGCAGGGAUUUUCAGGGGCCCGACAAGUCUGCAGCAGAAUCCACCCCGUUCUGGGUCAUCCUGUUGCCCUUGUCAUUCCUGAUGAGGAACCUGCCAUGGGCGUACUGGGGGAGCUGACCCUCACUCCAGCAGCUGCUCUGUGUCCCUGCCACAAGCUCCAUCCCAACCAGACCAGCAGGAUCUCCACAGCCUCCGUAUUUCUAUAUGGACCUUCAGGUCUGCCUCUAACAUUUCCCAAUCAGGAGCUACAAUUAACUGUCUUCAGUGAUAAUUCCUACCUUUUCGACUGGAAGAAAUAUCACUUGUGUGCAGCACCCAACUCAAAUGUCAGUUUGGAAGAAGAUGUGGUUCUUCCCGAUGUGAGUUAUUGCGUUGAGUCCCAUGACAAAAGCCAGCCCCAGGACUCGGAGGAACAAGCUCUGCUGCUCUUUCUCAUGGUGGAUUUCCACAGUGGAUUUCCAGCUCAGCUGUCGGAGGCCUGGGGGAGGCAGUCUUUGCUCCUGACACAUCUUAAUCGCAUCCUACUUGAGAACCACAGCCUAGUGCAGGAUGCCGUCCAGGGGGCUGUGGACCAGGCUUCGAGGCAGCCGCACCGAGCCCUUGAGGCCCGACAGAAGGUGCAGGCGUCCAUCCCGGUGGCCGUGAGCUCCAUCCUCAGUGUCGUGGCUGGCAGCACCAACAGUGGCUUUCGGGCCCUUUGCCUCCAGACCCUCCAGGCAGCCGAUACCCAGGAGUUUGGGAAGAAACUACACAAAACCUUCCAGCAGACCGUGUGCCGGCGCUUCCUGUACCCAAAGAAAAUGCAAGGGCUUGGGGCCUCUGGGAAUGAGGAGGGACCCCUGCCUCGGACCAGAGGGAGCCGAUUUUCCUGAGCUAAGAAAGGCUAUCGGGUGACCUGCCACCCAGGGGGACAGAGCGGCCCCAGGAGAGGUGCAGCUCCAGCCAUGCUCUCAAGGAGGAUGAUGGGAGGCCUCUGAGGUGGCCGUUCCAUGUCCCACACUUCUGGGAAGGGGAUUCCUCACCGGGGCCUGUGCCUGUUGGGCUAAAUUCAUGGGGGGAUGGGGGGGGUUCUGACUCUGACCAGCUGCUUCCUGAGCCGAGCCACACCGAGGAGAGGGAGGACGGGGAGGAGAGCCUGGAGGAGCCACUGGCAGAGAGCUGCUGUCCGGGAGGGGCUCCGAGCC